CUGCACUGUGGCCAAACAAACACCCAGCUCUUGGAGGUGAGUGGUCUCCGCUCCUCCUCCACUCCAUCUACACUUCACCUGGGCCAAGUGACGCUUCUGUCGUUUCCUCGUCGCGGGCCGAAACGGGUUUUGGAUCUGCCAUGCGCGGUGCUCCCCGCUUUAUGUAAGUCAAGCGCGGAGACCAACAACGUAGUCAUGGAGCUGGAGCAGGGAACUUGGAGCGCGGAGCAUGGAGCCGCCUAGCGGGCAGAUGCGCCGACUUGGUGGAGGUGGUGGAGCAAAUGCAGUGCCUGUGCAAAGCGAAACGGCAAAAUGGGCAGCAGCAACAGAAGACACUCAAAGAAAAUGGCCCAUCCAAUUAAUGGCCAGAAACGCAAAGAACUGAUUUUAAAGAAAAAAAGGCCCAUAUGUGUUUGUCCUAAGUUUUUCCGAAAAUCCGGCAAAAGAUGGCACGGUGUGCAUGGAAAAGUUGCCGUUGAAUGGGAAAUUGCUGCGACACGUUUUUGCCUUGGUCUGCUGGGAUGGGAUCUGUGACCGGUCUGAGUCGGCGGUGGUCCGGUGUCUAUGUCUCAGCCCCAGGUUUGUUUUCCGCAUAAAAAGACACAUUCAUGCUGGCAUUCUGCAGCCAACUUUAGCCUUUGGGUGCUAACCGGCUAACUCGGCUGGCUUAUGCAAAACUCCACAUCCUCAGCUAUUCCGCGACGAUGUACCUUGUGCAACACCCCAGACACUAUGGAGUCUGACCAGUUUAUCCACCCGCCAUGUGGUCAUCUAGGUGCACCGUUCUCGAGGCGCGGUAAAAGUAAAAGUUAAUGUGUGUGGCCGGCGCGUGAAGAAUGGCAAUUACAGAUCGAUGAUCGCCGUGAACCAGCUGGCUCAUUUAGCCUCCUUAAUUAUGCCACGAUUUCGCUCAUCCAACUCAUCUGCUUUCUGGCCAUGGAGGUGCCCCAUUGUGCGACUUACUUUGCUAUUUUGUGUUUCUCUGGCCAAAAUACGGAAAGUGGCAAGGCAGAAAACAUAAAUGAUUUUACGGGGGUCUAAAUGAGUUAAUUAGGUUUGCAGUCGAGAGGUCUUAACCAACACGAGUUGGCCAUGGCAAAGCCAAUGAAGAUAUCAGAGAAGGGGUAAUAUGUAGGUGGAUGGAUACAUUUGUACUACAUGAACCAUGCAACCCUAAAGGCUUUGGGUUUUGUUGAGUUAUUUUGGAAAUCUGUUUUUCUCCAUCAUUAGCUAAGAUUAAGCGUUUAAAAGAUAAUAUAUCUAUUAGGAAUCAUGAUUUAAUAAGAAAAGAUAAUACAUAUUUAAAAAAAAAAAUUAUUCCACAGACCAUUGCUGAAAAAUUUGAAUAAAGCUUAAUGUAAUGCGUAGUGAAUAACUCGCACCUUUAUAACAU
ensembl:ncRNA asRNA:CR33945 antisense RNA:CR33945